GCCAAUGAUGAUUCUUCUAGACUAGAGUCUCUGAUAAACCAUGAAGCUCUUCACAGUGCACUGAGC
rnacentral:snoRNA from 1 species